UCUUUGCUAGUAUAUCGGUUAGUACACGCGCCUGUCAUUAUCAUCUUGACUUGACCGCGCGAAAGCUGGGUUCGACUCCCAGGCAAAGAG